rnacentral:rRNA from 1 species
UACGUAGGUGGCAAGCGUUGUCCGGAUUUACUGGGCGUAAAGCGUGCGCAGGCGGUUGUGCAAGACAGAUGUGAAAUCCCCGGGCUCAACCUGGGAAUUGCAUUUGUGACUGCACGGCUAGAGUGUGUCAGAGGGGGGUAGAAUUCCACGUGUAGCAGUGAAAUGCGUAGAGAUGUGGAGGAAUACCGAUGGCGAAGGCAGCCCCCUGGGAUAACACUGACGCUCAUGCACGAAAGCGUGGGGAGCAAACAGG